CCUACGGGAUGCAGCAGUGAGGAAUAUUGGUCAAUGGGCGUAAGCCUGAACCAGCCAAGUCGCGUGAGGGAUGAAGGUUCUAUGGAUCGUAAACCUCUUUUAUAAGGGAAUAAAGUGCGGGACGUGUCCCGUUUUGUAUGUACCUUAUGAAUAAGGAUCGGCUAACUCCGUGCCAGCAGCCGCGUUAAUACGGAGAAUCCGAGCGUUAUCCGGAUUUAUUGGUAUUAAGGGGUGCGUAGGCUGCCUUUUAAGUCAGCGGUGAAAGGCUGUGGCUCAACCAUAGAAUGGCCGUUGAAACUGGGAGGCUAGAGUAUGUUUGAGGCAGGCGGAAUGGGGGGUGUAGCAGUGAAAUGCGUAGAUAUCACGAAGAACCCCGAUUGCGAAGGCAGCCGGCCAAGCCAUGACUGACGCUGAUGCACGAAAGCGUGGGGAUCAAACAGGAUUAGAUACCCUAGUAGUC
rnacentral:rRNA from 1 species